rnacentral:rRNA from 1 species
AGGCUGCAGUCGAGAUCUUUCGCAUGGGCGCAAGCCUGACGAAGCGACGCCGUGUGAGCGAUGAAGGCCUUCGGGUUGUAAAGUUCUUUCGCUAGGGAACAAGAAAGUYCGAUGAAUAAUCGGAUGAUUUGAKGGUACUUGGWAAAGAAGCACCGGCUAACUCC